UGCACAUAAAUUUUCAUAAACACUUAACACUUCAAUACUUUUUUUUUGGUUCAACAGUUUUGAGCAAAGGUUACGGGGGAUGUUGAGAUCGAAAUUGGUGGCGGAAACACGGCUCAUAACACUCUCCCUUCCUCAAGCUCCUCAUGCCUCGUCCAUCUGCUCCUGAACAAAGAAUAUUAACAACUCAGCACACACAGUUCUCGAACAUAUCAAUGUGAUGCAUCAGACCACGGUUGACCAAAUUCCUAUCCACACUAAGAUGCGAAGAAGAGAGUUUACUAACCUGCAUAUCAGAGGUCCAGAGGGUAAGAUUGUCCCUGAGCAGCUGCAUGAUGAGAGUGCUGUCUUUGUACGACUCUUCUCCAAGAGUGUCAAGCUCAGCUAUGGCUUCUUCAAAAGCCUACAGAGACAACAGCCAAGCAGUAGUCAAUAACCCCCUUUAAGUCAACACACAUCUAUAAAAAAAAAAA
rnacentral:lncRNA from 1 species